rnacentral:lncRNA from 1 species
GUUAUGCCAACCUUAUCUCAUCCAAAAAUUUCUCUUUAAAACCCCUUCCAGAAAUUAAUCACCAUUAAGCUUGGAUCUUCCUCCCUCUCCCUUCCUUCCUCACCUCCAACAACUACCUAGCCACCAUUGCUAACCACCGUGCCACCUAAACCCUUUUAUUCUUCUCCUAUGCUCUAUUUUUACCCUUGAUUCACCAUCCAUUUUGCCACCAGAAUCCUUCACCACCGGCCAUGACCCACAACCGCCACCACCUUCGAUAAGCCCUCCUCCCUUUCUUUCCUUUUGGUUUUUGGUGUUGCUACCAUGGCAACAAAGGACAGUGCCCCUUUUUUAUCUUCUCUUGGCUCUCUUGUGCACAGCCGAACCACUACCUCUAGCCACCAGCACUCUAGCCGUGCCACCACCAUUGGUUGCAUCACCACCAAACCAACCUCUCCUUCUCCCCUUUACUCUCCCUUAGAAGGCUUCAAUGAAAUCCUUGGUUCGACAAAAGGAGGGGAGGAAGAAAAAGAAGAAGAAAAAAAAAUAAAAACAAAAGAGAGAGAGGGGGAAACAUUGGCCCUUG